rnacentral:lncRNA from 1 species
GCAUUUUCCUAGAAUCUUGUUAGAACAAAGCCUUCAGUGAAGGUUUGAAGACGCUCACCCGAAACUCGGUGAGCUAACCAUAAGCGGGUUAAAUUUAGGGUAAUACCUAGUGGAGGACCGAACCCUUUCUUUAUAUAAAGUAAAGGAUUGCUUUGUUGGAUGACUUGUGGUUAGGAGUGAAAAGCUUAUCGAACUCUCCUAAUUAGGACUAGCGCAAGAGUUAUAAUAAGUGGGGAUAGAGCACUGAAUAGAGAAGGGUUCCUAACCGGGUACCACCUCUAAUCAAACUCCGAAUACCCCUUUCAGUGUCGCGAGGGAAACCUCCUUUAUAUUGCUUCUCCUUAUAGUAGCCCAAAUAGGCCUUACCUUAACCGAUAUUCUAUGAAGCAAGCAUCAUUUACAAGCUGCACAAUCUACUCGAUCAUUCCCGGUUACCCACGACAAGCGCUGUCAGGCCCACCUUCUUAGCUACCUUAGCCCAGUUCUUUAUCCUUAAAGUGGAACCCCGGAAAGUUUAUCCGCCAAUGGAAUCAGUAGCUACCAAUAACUGUUCUUUCUCCUUCCUACUACCAGAAAGUGAUUAAAGGCCUUCAUAAGCUUCUCUUUGAAGAGAAGUCUUUGCCUUAGAGUCUCGAUAUGAGAAAGAAGAGGAAGAAUCAUAAAUAAAAGGGGGAUGAUCCCCUCCGGCCUGCCCUGCCGGUUGAUUCAGUUGAAAAAGCCUUUCAUUUGCAAGAUGAAGCACCAGACCUAUAUAUAGCUGCUUUUAGGCCCCACGCAAAAGUAAUUAAUCUCCUGCCGCGGAAGAAUAAGAAGAAUCUCUUGCAUUGGACGAAGUGGAUACAGAUGGGUGCACUGACAUGGGAAAAGGUCUGUCAGCUUAAGUCAAGAAGGCUUUGUUCCUCCCUUCUUCCUUUCCUUGGGCUAUAAAUUGGUUGUGCUAAAAGAAAUCCCCCUACUCGCCGAAGGAAGAGGCAUCUCAUGCCAUGGUUCUUGUUCAAGAAUAGGCAGUUAUUUCAUCUGCUGGUAUAGAAUAGGUUGUUAGUGGGAUUUUCGAGUGCUAUUAUCGUAUAAUAAAAGAAAGCAAAGGAACGCACGGCUUUGCCGGUGAGCUUAUAAAAAUCUCCCCUUGAAGACGCGAACGGCUUAGCAUCUUAAUUUCAUACUCUCUUUACGAACGGUGUUAGCUCCGAAAUCAGAUCCUCUUCCGACUUCGACUUCCGGGAUUUAUCCUUGUGAGCUUUCAACUGAAAGACAGGAAAGCCCUUAGAAUAAGGUAAGCGACUUGCCUUACCUAUACCAGUAUCAAGAAUCGGAAUUCAUCUCGGAAGGAUGGAAAUCUUAUCCGUUUUGGUCUAAUGUGGAAGUGUUACGAUUUAGUCUAAGAAAUGGGCUUGGACUAUCGUCCUGAAGUGUUGCCUUCCUUUGAGCCCCUUUUAGGGGGUUAUCUUCUUGACGGGUAUACUGGCACAGACUUCUUAGUCUCUUUACAGGGUUUGGAUGACCCUGUGAGGGAGGGGUCGUUGUCUAAAAAGCAACGUACUCUAGAUCGGCCAUCUACAUAAGGUAAGGUAGCGUAUAGCUUAGCUAAUAGCUUCGCUACCUCACUCACGAGCUCUUUCUCAGCCCAAGGUGCUGGGUAUUUAUCCUAACGAGUGCAUUCAGUUUCAUGUCCCAUUGAAAGGACAAUCGGCGAGAUUGAAGUUCCUUUCUUUUUUCUAGGCUAAACCUUCCCUAAGCCUAAUCCCUAAUCAAGCAAAGUUUUUGUCAGGAAAGUGUUCGAGGCGGAUUCCAUAGCAACAGAGUCGUGAAAAGAGCUAAAAGCAGCCUUUCUAAAUAAAUAGUAAAACACGCAUGGAUGCUAGGAAUGAAGCCUGCCAAUGUCCCUUACAAGAAUAUCAUUAGUAGAAGAGGAUACCCACAUCUACGGCCAUUAGUUCGAUUCCCGGUUAUCUUUCUUCUAGCUUUUAGUUCUUCCUUUAAAUAAAGAUGUCCUACGUCCCCCUGUUAGUUUUGGUCCUGCCCCGUACUCAUCAAUCGCUUUGUCGGAACUCUUCCCUUACUUCAUCUCGCUUCGAUAGUAUGGCAUUCUUUAGUAACAAGCUGUAGUAACAAGAGUCACAAGGCUUGUUCAAAGAAAAACCACGUCCAGCGUGAAGAAAAAGAUUAGAAUAUAGUGCAAUCAAAGCAUGUUUAUCAUGGCACAAACCCUCUUCUAAAGAAAGAGAGGGAAGGCCAUGAAAGUCUUGCAUCUCACAUCACGUGGAAAGAAAGGAUGCUGACAAAGCUUGCUGCAAAGGAGGCUGCUGUUGAAGCGCUCAUCUUCUCGUACAUUGAAGUAACCAAUUCAGGUACUUCACGCAGCUGGUCAAUGUUGGCUCGUUCUGCCUCCGGUCUAUGGUCCAUCGAUCGAAGGGAUAUGAGUUCAGUUAGUAAUCCGUUUACGUACGGUGGGUGGGUAAGCUGGAGGGGACCCCGGUGGUAAGAAUAGGCUAAUUCCUGUUCCUUGAAUAGGCCAAAUGGGAGUCUCAAAGCUAAGAACUACCUGUUUCAGGCGUUAGAUCGUUCCAUUUUGGAGACUAUCGUCAACAAAGACACGUCAAAGAGUAUUUAGGACUCUAUGAAGCAGAAAUAUCAAGGAACAACGCGAGUAAAGCGUGCUCAUCUACAGGCAUUGCGAAAGGAGUAUGAAAUUGCUCACAUGAAGGAAGGAGAAUCUGUGAAUGAGUACAUUGCUCGUGUUCUUGUCAUCACCAACAAGAUGAAAGCCAAUGGUGAAGAAUUGAAAGAUGUUGCUGUUGUGGAAAAGAUUCUGAGGUCAAUGACACCUAAGUUCAAUUAUGUCGUCUGUUCAAUAGAAGAAUCUAAUGAUACAAGAAUUUUGUCAAUUGAUGAGCUGCAAAGCAGUUUGCUCGUGCACGAACAACGCAUGAGUAACACUAUACAUGAAGAACGUGCACUGAAGGUGACCCAUGGAAACCAAUAUGCAGGACAAGGAAGAGGACGUGGGAACAUGGAGUGCAAAGACAAACAGGAAAGAGUAUUGCAGAGGAAAGAAAGAAGGUGGAAGGAAUUCUCUGUCUAUUGAAUGAGAAAUAUUUAGGCUAUAUAUAGCCGUACAAAACAAACAGAAAAUACAAUAAAUAAGGAGUCUCCUGCUAACUAACUCCUAAACCGAAAGACCUAUUCUAAAGCAAAGAAUCCCAAAUGGAAUGGGAUUUUAUUUGACUAAAUCUAACAAUUCCUCUCUUAAACUAAAUGCUGAAAGAAUUUAGUUUAUACUGCUCUCUGCACAAACUCCAAGCAUAGUACGCAGCUUCAGAAAAGCAUCCAACUUAAGAGGCUUUGUCAUCACAUCAGCUAUCUGUUCCAAAGUAUUGCAAUGAACUAAUUCUAUCAUACCUAUCUGUGCAAGUUCUCGAAGGAAAUGGAAACGAACAUCUAUAUGCUUGCUACGACCAUGCAUAACUGGGUUUCUUGAGAGCUCGAUUGCAGAGCUAUUGUCACAAUGGAUAGUAUUUUUCUCUUGUUGAGUCUGAUCCAGCGUUUUGAGCACUCUUUUUAACCAAAUUGCUUGACAAGCACAAGCAGUAGCAGCAAUAAACUCAGCUUCGGUGGUAGACAGACUCACAAUAGGUUGUUUCUUAGAAGACCAUGAUACAGCUCCAGAACCAAAGAGAAAAACAUAGCCUGAUGUACUUCUUCUAUCAUCCAAGUCACCCGCAUAAUCACUAUCAGUGUAUGCUAUAAGAUCAUCAUUUCCUCCCUUCUUAUAGAAAAUUCCAUACUCAGUUGUUCCUUGCAAAUAUCUCAACACUCUCUUUGCUAGUUGUAAAUGAAGCUGAGUAGGAUUCUCCAUAUAUCUGCUCAAAAGACUUACUGCAAACAUCACAUCUGGACGAGUCGCAGUCAGAUACAUAAGACAGCCUACCAGUUGUUUGAAGUGAGUCUUGUCCACCUUAAUUCCUUCUUCAUCCUUGCAAAGCUUGAAACCAGGAACCAUGGGAGUUUGAACAGAUUUGCUUUGAUUCAUUUCAAAACGUUGCAACACCUCCUGAGCAUACUUUCUUUGACCGAUAAAAAUUCCACCUGAUUUCUGCAAGACUUCGAGACCCAAAAAAUAUUUCAUUUUACCAAGAUCAGUCAUAUCAAACUCAUUCUUCAUCGAGUUCUUAAACUCAGUGAACAUCAACUCAUCAUUUCCUGUGAAAAGAAGAUCGUCAACAUAUAUACUUACAAUAAGCAUGCUGCCUCCAUGUUUCGUUUAACAAAAAGGGUAUGCUCAUAAUCACAUUUUUGAAAACCUUCCUUCAUGAAGUAUGUUUCAAUACGGUUGUACCAAGCACGCGGAGCCUGUUUAAGCCCAUACAGAGCUUUCUUCAGCUUGUACACCUUUUCCUUCUUUCCCUCUUGAAUGUAACCACACGGCUGCUCAACAAAAACAUCUUCAACUAGUUCUCCAUGUAAAAAAGCAGACUUCACAUCUAAUUGAUGGAUAGCCCACCCUUUUUGUGCUGCUAGAGCGAUCACCAAACGAACAGUCUCCAUACGGGCCACUGGAGCAAACACUUCUGUGUAAUCUACACCAUAUCGCUGUGCAUAUCCUUUUACAACCAGCCUCGUCUUCAGGAUGAAAGAAGCAGCCGUAGCAUGAAAGAAAAAAGAAGUAGGGAGCGGGUGCUGGAUUCAUUUUGAUCAGUCCGGAUGGGCACGAGCUCACCUAUGCACUCCGUUUUGAGUUCAAAGCCUCAAACAACGAAGCGGAGUAUGAAGCGCUCAUUGCCGGACUGAAAUUGGCCUUGAAAAUGGGGGUAACCAAGUUACGGGCUUACAGUGACUCUCAGCUCGUAGUAAAUCAAGUAAUGGGGGGCUACGCAGCAAAAGACCUCAUGAUGAAAAGGUACCUCCAAAAAGUUCAAGAUUUGAUGGCUGAGUUUGAAGAAUUUACCAUAGACCGCAUUCCCCGAUCUCAGAAUAAAAGGGCAGACGCCCUGAGCAAGCUAGCCUCCUCUGCCUACGCACACUUGACAAGGAAAGUUUUGGUGAAAGUUCUGGCAGGGCGGAGUAUUAUUGAUGAACAUCAUGUUAACAUAAUUUCAUAAGAAGAAAAGAACUGGAUGAACCUCUUUAUUGAGUAUCUCAGUUCGGGUAAGUUGCCUGAGGCAAGGAAAAUGAAAAUCAAAGCUCCUAUGUACGUGCUGAAAAAUGGUGUUUUGUACAAGAAAUCUUAUCUCAUGCCUUGGCUAAGGUGUGUUGGGCUGAGGCUGGCAGAAUACGUGUUGAAAGAAAUUCACUUCGGCUCCUGCGGAGACCAUGUUGGAGCACGCAUGUUAGCAAAGAAGGCUAUUCGGCUUGGGUAUUACAGGCCGACCAUGUACAGAGAUGCGUAUGAGCUGGUGUUAAAAUGUGAAAAGUGCCAAGUGCAUGCACCCAUCAAGCAUGUGCCGCAAAUGGAGCUGAUUACUAUUCAAAGUGUCGGGUCGGGUCUCAGGUUCAAAAGCAGAAGACUGGUCGUAGGGACAAAGCUUCUACUUAAACAUCAAGUCGGUCUUGAUAUGAAGGGGAUAUAUCUAUGCUCAGGUGAUCCAUCAAAUCGGCCAGUGUUUUCCCUUUUACUUCCUUUCGGGGUACGUAUUGUAUAGAAAAAAAGUACCAACGUCCACUUUCCUACUCACCCUUUGGUCUGGACAACAUGUACUUAAUUAUUUCUGAACUAGAGACCAAGUAAACGUAAAGGCUGUGAAGGGAAUGGAUAGGCAUAGGUCAGAUUAGAUGUCUUGGCUACAUAUGGGAAAGGAACUGGGUAUGGGUGCUAUUGCUGAGUCUGAUAUACUGGUGCUCUUUGGCUUGGUUGGAUUGAUUGAGGCUUACUGCUUGAAAUGGGACGAGGCCUUCUUCUAGCCUGUCUAUCGUGAUUGACCUACUGCACCUCUCCUUCUCUCUUAUUCCCAUAAGUGGACUUCUUGGAGGCUUCUGUCGAGCUAUCAGCAAUUUGACUGCUCUUCACACCUUGCUCAAUCUUCUCUUCUCUCCGAUCAUCACAAGGGCAGCAAAAUGUGUGGAAAGAUUGCCAACCAUGCGAUCGUAGAAAGGAGAAGGGAGAGUAGUGAGAAAGGUGGCCACCAUCUCUUUUUCAGUCAAGGGAGGCAGGACUUGGGCAGCCAUUUCUAUCCAUCCUUGGGCAUCUUCUUUUAAAAUCUCCGUGCUCUUCUUCUCCAUGCUUUGAAGCCCCAUGCCAUCAGGAGCCGUAUCAAGAUUGUACUUGUACUGCUUGAGGUGAGGAAAGCAUCAGCAAGAUGCUUCCAUUUGCGGACAUGAGAGCGGUCCUGCUCCAUCUACCAUUUGGACGCAACGCCCGUGAGGCUGUCUUUUAUAAUAGAUACUUCAGCGGGUCCAUCCUUGCAAUCAGCAUGGUCGUAUAGUUCAACAUGUAGUGGUAUAGGCCUUUCGAGGCCCAUGUAAGAGCUAAACAGGUAUUUUCUAGAACCUUAUACCUUGCCUCAUAAUCAGUGAACUUCUUGUUGAGAUAGUAUAUGGCUCUUUCUUUCCUACCCGUUUCAUCGUGCUGACCAAGGGCACAACUCAUGGAUGCUUCCUUCACUGACAGAUACAUCAGGAGAGGUCGACCAGGCGUUAGCGGAUGGGAGGAUUGACAGUUAUGCUCAAGUCUUUCAUUAAGAUGUACCGCUAGGGAACUCUUUACCUUUUGAUAUAAGAGAAGACGCUUUCGGGCUAACUAAGGCCGAGGUGUCUCGCGGAAUCUUCAAUAAGGCGAUAGAAGGCAUUUUCCUAGAAUCUUGUUAGAACAAAGCCUUCAGUGAAGGUUUGAAGACGCUCACCCGAAACUCGGUGAGCUAACCAUAAGCGGGUUAAAUUUAGGGUAAUACCUAGUGGAGGACCGAACCCUUUCUUUAUAUAAAGUAAAGGAUUGCUUUGUUGGAUGACUUGUGGUUAGGAGUGAAAAGCUUAUCGAACUCUCCUAAUUAGGACUAGCGCAAGAGUUAUAAUAAGUGGGGAUAGAGCACUGAAUAGAGAAGGGUUCCUAACCGGGUACCACCUCUAAUCAAACUCCGAAUACCCCUUUCAGUGUCGCGAGGGAAACCUCCUUUAUAUUGCUUCUCCUUAUAGUAGCCCAAAUAGGCCUUACCUUAACCGAUAUUCUAUGAAGCAAGCAUCAUUUACAAGCUGCACAAUCUACUCGAUCAUUCCCGGUUACCCACGACAAGCGCUGUCAGGCCCACCUUCUUAGCUACCUUAGCCCAGUUCUUUAUCCUUAAAGUGGAACCCCGGAAAGUUUAUCCGCCAAUGGAAUCAGUAGCUACCAAUAACUGUUCUUUCUCCUUCCUACUACCAGAAAGUGAUUAAAGGCCUUCAUAAGCUUCUCUUUGAAGAGAAGUCUUUGCCUUAGAGUCUCGAUAUGAGAAAGAAGAGGAAGAAUCAUAAAUAAAAGGGGGAUGAUCCCCUCCAGCCUGCCCUGCCGGUUGAUUCAGUUGAAAAAGCCUUUCAUUUGCAAGAUGAAGCACCAGACCUAUAUAUAGCUGCUUUUAGGCCCCACGCAAAAGUAAUUAAUCUCCUGCCGCGGAAGAAUAAGAAGAAUCUCUUGCAUUGGACGAAGUGGAUACAGAUGGGUGCACUGACAUGGGAAAAGGUCUGUCAGCUUAAGUCAAGAAGGCUUUGUUCCUCCCUUCUUCCUUUCCUUGGGCUAUAAAUUGGUUGUGCUAAAAGAAAUCCCCCUACUCGCCGAAGGAAGAGGCAUCUCAUGCC